CCUACGGGAGGCAGCAGUAGGGAAUUUUCGGCAAUGGGGGGAACCCUGACCGAGCAACGCCGCGUGAACGAAGAAGUUAUUCGUAAUGUAAAGUUCUUUUAACAGGGGAGCAAGAGAAGUUUGACGGUACCUGAAGAGUAAGCCCGGGCUAACUACGUGCCAGCAGCCGCGGUAAUACGUAGGGAGCGAGCGUUGUCCGGAAUUAUUGGGCGAAAAGGGUGCGUAGAUGGAAUAGUAAGUCUUUGGUAAAAAUGCUGGGCUCAACCCAGUAGGGCAAAAGAUACUGCAAAGCUAGAGUAUGAGAGAGGCAAGUGGAACGAGAUGUGUAGCGGUAAAAUGCGUAAAUAUAUGUAAGAACACCAGUUGCGAAGGCGGCUUGCUGGGUCUAUACUGACACUGAGGCACGAAAGCGUGGGGAGCGAACAGGAUUAGAUACCCUUGUAGUC
rnacentral:rRNA from 1 species